UACAUAUCACCUGAGGAAACACAACUAGAGCUCAUAAUGCAAGGAAACAAUUACAUAAUCAAGUUUGUGCAUGUCUGGAGAACUACAUUGCAUGGAAACAACUGUAGUGAUUAAAAAAUAAAUGUCCAAUUAUACCUCUACUGUGGUA